rnacentral:rRNA from 1 species
ACAAUAUACGAUAUUAUAUGUUUUAAUUAAGAAAAAAAAAAAGUAUGUUAAAUAAUAAUAAUGAUUUAAAUUUAACUUUUAAUCCUAUAGUUACUUAUUCUAACUGCGAGCUUGAAAAAAGGUCGUAUACUUACAGAAAACAAAGAUAAAGCUGUAGUUUAUCGUUGAGUUAAUAAUAUUAAUAAUAAAACAUAUAUAGGUAGCUCAAUUAAUUUAUCUGUAAGAUUACAUAAGUAUUAUAGUAUUAAACAUUUAACUAAUAAUAAAACUCCUAUUCAUAAUGCUCUUCUAAAAUAUGGUUUUAAAAACUUUAAUUUAGAAAUUCUAGAGUAUUGUAAAGAAGGAGUAAAUCCUGUAGUAAGAGAGCAAUAUUACUUAGAGUUGUUAAAUCCUGAGUAUAAUGUUUUAGAGCAAGCAGGUUCUUCUUUAGGAUUCAAACAUAGCGAAGAAACCUUAGAAUUUUUUAAAAAUAAUCGUAAAGUAAGUGAAGAAACAAGAAAUAAUUUAUCUUUAGCAGCAACAGGUAGAAUCUUAACUGAAGAAGAAAGAAAAAAAAUAUCUGAUGCUCGUAAAGGUAUUCAACUUUCAAAUGAAACACGUGCUAAAAUAUCAGCUGCAGCUACUUCACUUAGAGGUGUACCAGUUAAGGUUAAAGAUUUAAAUACUAAUAAAGAAUUAGAUUUUACAAAUUUAACUGAGGCAGGAGAAUUUAUAGGUGUAAGUAGAACAGCUGUAAAGAAAUACCUUAAUACAGGUAAACUAAUUAAAAAUCAAUAUGUAGUAACUACAAAAAAUAUAUAAAACUAAAGUACUUUAUUAUUUGUUAAAUGGAUAGCAAAUAGUUAUUUAGGGAGAAGGAUCUCAGCUUUACCUAACCCCGUAAGGGUAUGGUUUAAGAGGUAGAUCUGUUUCUGCGAAACCUAUAAUAGUAGGCAGUUUAAGUAAAUAUCUUAGCAGGUACAGAAUUUAAUCUCAGACAAGACAUUUUUUAAUGUUUUAUUUUGUACAAAUUGGGGGAUCAUGAAGAUUUUAUCAGUGAGUAUGUAGACUCGGAAUGGUAAAGAUAUAUCUUAAACUAUCAGACAUAGAAUGAUAAGGUUGUAUGUCGAAAGGGAAACAGCCCAGAACAAGAGUUAAGGUUCCUAAAUUAUUUGUUAAGUGAAAAUAAGAAAGUUUUUAUUUAAGUCGACAAGGAGAUAGGCUUAGAAGCAGCCAUAAUUUUAUGACCUCGUAACAGAGCGCUUGUUAAAUUGUAAAAGCGUCGAAAAUAUAACGGAUCUAAACAAUAUACCGAAACCUUGUCCAUAAUAUAUUAUAAUAAAUAUGUUUAUUAUAAUUAAAUGGGGUAGCAGAACGUUGAGCUAAAGUAUGAGUUUUAUUUUUUAAAUAAAAUUAUAUUAAUUUAACUCAAGUGAGAAUGGUGACAUGAGUAACUAAAAGAAAAUUUUCCGCCUUAAGCUUAUGGAUGUAAUUAAGUAACGGCCUCUAAGUUUAUAUAAUCUAAAGAUUUAAACGAUGAGAAAAUCUUUAUUACUAAAAACAACAUUUUGGUGCAAAAUGUGCUGGAAAAAUAGUAAUAUGUUUGUUAUCUAAUAACAAAUAAAACAACCGUACCUAGAAUCUGAAACAAGUAAGCUAGUAGAGAAUACGAAGGCGUAAAUGAGCUAACAAUCAUAAAGGAACUCGGCAAAUUGACUACCGUAACUUCGGAAUAAGGAGGGCUCAUUAUUCUUGAUGAAUAUCAAGUAAAGAGGAAGAAGCAUGAAAUAAUGUUGUACGACUGUUUAAUUAAAACACAGCACUUUGCUGAAAGAUUAAAAAUCUAAGUAUAAAGUGUGAUAUCUGCCCGGUGCCGGCUGGUUAACAGAGAUAAUUGAAUAUACUAAUAUUUGAUGUCGACGGAAACCCCGGUUAAAGGCGGCCUUAACGUGAGGGUCCUAAGGUAGCGAAAUGCCUUGGCCGUUAAAUGCGGUCUUGCAUGAAUGGUGUAACGAUACAACAGCUGUCUCUAUGAUUGACUCAGUGAAAUUGGAAUAGCUGUGCAGAUACAGCUUACCUCUAGUUAGACGAGAAGACCCUAUGCAGCUUUACUGUCACUAAUUAUAGAGUAUGAUAAACGAUUUUCAGAAUAUAAGGUAAUUGACAAACAUGACAAUGAGAAACCUUUAUUCUUUUUUCAUAUGAAUGAAUUGGUUUAGGAUUAUGAGUAAUUUAUAAUUAAUUUUAUGGAUUUAGCUUAGGCUUGAUCACAUUUUAUUAUUAUAUAGCUCAUUUUAGUAAAUCAACCUAAUUCAACUUAUUUAUUUUAUAAUAAUUAAGUACCCUUUGGUAAGGAACUAUCGCUAGGGGACAGUUUAUGUGGGGCACAGACCCUGUAAAGAGUAAACAGGAGUGUCUAAAAUUUAUAAUUAUUUUGUUUGCUAUUUUGAGUAGUUUAACUAUUUUUAAUCGUAUAAAAUUAAAUAUAUUUGCAUUUUAUGUAUAUAUAUUUAAAAUUAGGUAAGAUUUUCACUAUAUAGAAAUUAGAGAUAAUUGAAAGUAUUAUGAAAUUUUCUAAUAUUUUCUAGCUAUUAUUUAUAAUGGUUAUGUGUUUAAUAUCUAAAAAGCUCAACGGCUAAAUCUUGCCUUACUGUUUGAUUAUCGACAAAUCUUACAGUUGCGUAAGCAGGGCAUAGGAUCACAAGAUGCCACAAGGAAAGAUCUUGGAUUAUUGGAAAAGCUACGCUAGGGAUGUUUGUCCUUUAAUAUUUUAUUUAUAAAUAAAAUUAUUAAUAUAAAUUGGGUAAAUUUCAAGAAUUACUAAUAAUGAUAGUAAACUUGAAGCGAAGUUUAUCUUAGCAUAUACUAUAAGAUAAAAACGUUCAAC